rnacentral:rRNA from 1 species
CGCAGUCUUCGGACGGGCGGCGAGCGGCGGACGGCUGAGUAACGCGUGGGAAUCUACCCCAAAGUGAGGGAUAACGCACCGAAAGGUGUGCUAAUACCGCAUACGGUCUUCGGAUUAAAGUUUUAACGCUCUGGGAAGAGCCCGCGUACUAUUAGAUAGUUGGUGAGGUAAAGGCUCACCAAGUCGACGAUGGUUAACUGGUCUGAGAGGAUGAUCAGUCAGAUUGGAACUGAGACACGGUCCAAACUCCUACGGGAGGCAGCAG